AAUAUUGCACAAUGGGGGAAACCCUGAUGCAGCGACGCCGCGUGAGUGAAGAAGUAUUNCGGUAUNUNAAGCUCUAUCAGCAGGGNCGAUUAUGACGGUACCUGACUAAUAAGCCCCGGCUAACUACGUGCCAGCAGCCGCGUCAAUACGUAGGGGGCAAGCGUUAUCCGGAUUUACUGGGUGUAAAGGGAGCGUAGGUGGUUCGGUAAGUCAGAUGUGAAAGCCCGGGGCUCAACCCCGGGACUGCAUUUGAAACUAUCGAACUAGAGUGCAGGAGAGGUAAGUGGAAUUCCUAGUGUAGCGGUGAAAUGCGUAGAUAUUAGGAGGAACACCAGUGGCGAAGGCGGCUUACUGGACUGUAACUGACACUGAGGCUCGAAAGCGUGGGGAGCAAACAGG
rnacentral:rRNA from 1 species